rnacentral:rRNA from 1 species
UAAGACAGAGGUGCCGAGCGUUAGGCGGAAUCACUGGGCUUAAAGCGUGUGUAGGCGGACCGUUAAGUACCUUGUGAAAUCCCCCGGCUCAACCGGGGAACGGCUGGGUAUACUGGCGGUCUUGAGCCACCUAGGGGCGAGCGGAACAAGCGGUGGAGCGGUGAAAUGCGUAGAUAUCGCUUGGAACGCCGACGGUGAAAACAGCUCGCUGGGGGUGUGCUGACGCUGAGACACGAAAGCCAGGGGAGCGAACGGGAUUAGAUACCCCGGUAGUCCUGGCCCUAAACGAUGUCCACUAGGUCACGGCGGUUUUGACGCCGUCGUGGCCGAAGCAAAAGUGCUAAGUGGACCGCCUGGGAAGUACGGUCGCAAGGCUA